AUCAUCUUCAUGUCAGCUUCACAUACCGUUAGGACCUCCUACCAAUCCUGGUACACCUCCUGCUCCCAAGACACCUCCAGAUCCGGGUAAACCUGUCAAGCACUACCAGGAAGUCCUGGUCCAGCAAAUCCAGACCAGGGACCUCCUACAGUCCCUGGACCAUAACCACCAACUGGUCCUGCCCCCAUGCCAAAUCCUCCUGCUGGACCGGUUCCUACCUGACCCUGCAGACCAAGUCCUGCAGCACCUCCACUACCACCAGGACCUACAUAUGGAUUAAAAUAAUUUAACAAGU